rnacentral:rRNA from 1 species
CCUUUGGAGGGUUUGAUCCUGGCUCAGAGUGAACGCUGGCGGCGUGGUUUAGGCAUGCAAGUCGAGCGAUCUUAUAGCCAGUAUUAUUGUUUCGCAAGAAACAAGAGUACUGGCUGUAGGAUAGCGGCAAACGGGUGAGUAAUAAGUGGAUAACAUCCCUUAAGGAGGAUGAUAGCCUACCGAAAGGUGGGGUAAUACUCCAUAUGUCCAAAAUUUGAAAUAGUUUUGGAUGAAAGAUGGCCUCUGGAUUUUCCAAGCUAUCACCUUAAGAUUGGUCCACUUCCUAUCAGGUAGUUGGUAGGGUAAAAGCCUACCAAGCCUAAGACGGGUAGCUGGCUUGAGAGAGUGGUCAGCCACAUCGGAACUGAGACACUGUCCGGACUCCUACGGGAGGCUGCAGUCGAGAAUCUUUUCCAAUGGGCGAAAGCCUGAGAAUGCGACGCCGCGUGAGGGAUGAAGGCCUUCGGGUUGUAAACCUCUUUUAUUGGGGAGGAAUGCGUUUGGAGCAAAUAGCUCCAGACGAGUGACUGUACUCAAUGAAUAAGCCACGGCUAACUCCGUGCCAGCAGCCGCGGUAAUACGGAGGUGGCUAGCGUUACUCGGUUUGACUGGGUGUAAAGGGUCCGCAGGCGGCUAAAUGUGUGAAAGGUGAAAUCCUUUAGCUCAACUAAAGAACUGCCUUUCAAACUAUUUAGCUUGAGACUGAAAGAGGAGAACGGAACUGCCGGUGUAAGGGUGAAAUCUGUGGAUAUUGGCGGGAACGCCAGUGGGGAAGCCGGUUCUCUGGUUCAGAUCUGACGCUCAGGGACGAAAGCUAGGGGAGCAAACAGAAUUAGAUACUCUGGUAGUCCUAGCCGUAAACGAUGGACACUAGGUGUCUGUCUGUUAUGGAUGGGCGCCCAAGUUAACACGUUAAGUGUCCCACCUGGAGACUACGGCCGCAAGGCUAAAACUCAAAGGAAUUGACGGGGGCCCGCACAAGCGGUGGAACACGUGGUUUAAUUCGAUGCUACGCGAGGAACCUUAUCCAGGGCUUGACAUGCUGGUAGUAACCGCCGGAAACGGUUGGUGAACUGUAUCCAGUCAGUUGCCAGCACAGGUGCUGCAUGGCUGUCGUCAGCUCGUGCCGUGAGGUGUUUCCUUAAGUGGAAGAACGAGCGCAACCCUCGCCCUUAGUUGCCACCUUUAGUUUUUAACUAAAGAGCACUCUAGGGGGACUACCCGCGUUAAGUGGGGGGAAGGUGGGGAUGACGUCAAGUCCGCAUGGCCUUUAUGUCCUGGGCUACACACGUGUUACAAUGCCUGCUACAGAGGGAGGCGAAACCGUAAGGUGGAGCAAAUCCCAAAAAAGCAGGCCCAGUUCAGAUUGAGGGCUGCAACUCGACCUCAUGAAGCCGGAAUCGCUAGUAAUGGCGCAUCAGCUAUGGCGCCGUGAAUACGUUCCCGGGCCUUGUACACACCGCCCGUCAAGCGCUGAAAGUCGGAGGCACCUGAAGUCUACCUUUGGUGGAUCACGGUGAAUUUGAUGAUUGGCGCUAAGUCGUAACAAGGUAGCCGUACGGGAACGUGCGGCUGGAUCACCUCCUUU